AACGAACGCUGGCGGCGCGUUUUAAGCAUGCAAGUCGAGCGGCAAGGGCCUUCGGGCCCCUAGAGCGGCGGACGGGUGAGUAACACGUGGACAAUCUGCCCCCCGGCCGGGGAUAGCCCAGGGAAACCUGGAUUAAUACCGGAUGAGACGGGACCCGCGAAGGCGGGAUCCGGGAAAGGCGCUACGGCGCCGCCGGGGGAUGAGUCUGCGUCCCAUUAGCUAGACGGCGGGGUAACGGCCCACCGUGGCGACGAUGGGUAGCCGGCCUGAGAGGGUGGACGGCCACAUUGGAACUGAGACACGGUCCAGACUCCUACGGGAGGCAGCAGCUAAGAAUCUUCCGCAAUGGGCGAAAGCCUGACGGAGCGACGCCGCGUGAACGAAGAAGGCCGUGAGGUUGUAAAGUUCUUUUCGGGAGGGGGAACAACCGUGGCAGGGAAUGGCCGCGGGAUGACGUGAAUCCCGGAAUAAGCCCCGGCUAACUACGUGCCAGCAGCCGCGGUAACACGUAGGGGGCGAGCGUUGUUCGGAAUCAUUGGGCGUAAAGGGCGUGCAGGCGGUCCUGCAAGUCCGGCGUGAAAGACCCCGGCCCAACCGGGGGGACGCGCUGGAAACUGCGGGGCUUGAGUACAGGAGGGGAUGCCGGAAUUCCAGGUGUAGGGGUGAAAUCUGUAGAUAUCUGGAAGAACACCAAUGGCGAAGGCAGGCAUCUGGCCAUGUACUGACGCUGAGACGCGAAGGUGCGGGGAGCAAACA
rnacentral:rRNA from 1 species